GACGAACGCUGGCGGCGUGCUUAACACAUGCAAGUCGAACGGAAAGGCCCUGCUUUUGUGGGGUGCUCGAGUGGCGAACGGGUGAGUAACACGUGAGUAACCUGCCCUUGACUUUGGGAUAACUUCAGGAAACUGGGGCUAAUACCGGAUAGGAGCUCCUGCUGCAUGGUGGGGGUUGGAAAGUUUCGGCGGUUGGGGAUGGACUCGCGGCUUAUCAGCUUGUUGGUGGGGUAGUGGCUUACCAAGGCUUUGACGGGUAGCCGGCCUGAGAGGGUGACCGGCCAAAUUGGGAGUGAGAUACGGCCCAGACUCCUACGGGAGGCAGCAGUGGGGAAUAUUGCACAAUGGGCGGAAGCCUGAUGCAGCAACGCCGCGUGCGGGAUGACGGCCUUCGGGUUGUAAACCGCUUUCGCCUGUGACGAAGCGUGAGUGACGGUAAUGGGUAAAGAAGCACCGGCUAACUACGUG
rnacentral:rRNA from 1 species